UCGGGAAUUUUGGGCAAUGGGCGAAAGCCUGACCCAGCAACGCCGCGUGAAGGAUGAAGUAUUUCGGUAUGUAAACUUCGAAAGAAUAGGAAGAAUAAAUGACGGUACUAUUUAUAAGGUCCGGCUAACUACGUGCCAGCAGCCGCGGUAAUACGUAGGGACCAAGCGUUGUUCGGAUUUACUGGGCGUAAAGGGCGCGUAGGCGGCAAUUCAAGUCAUCUGUGAAAUCUCCGGGCUUAACUCGGAACGGUCAGAUGAUACUGCUUUGCUAGAGUGCAGAAGGGGCAAUCGGAAUUCUUGGUGUAGCGGUGAAAUGCGUAGAUAUUGGGAAGAACACCAGUGGCGUAAGCGACUUGCUGGCCCGUAACUGACGCUGAGGAACGAAAGCCAGGGGAGCGAAUGGGAUUAGAUACCCGAGUAGUCCCUGAGCGGGCUGGCAAGGCGCAU
rnacentral:rRNA from 1 species